UUUUUUUUAUAAAUCACAAUCAUUGCGUGGGAAGUGGCGUACGCACAUUUCCAGCCCCGUUUGGUGCGUACGCCACGUUUAUAAAUGAGACGGCGGGACUCUCCAUAGGUGUUGA